rnacentral:lncRNA from 1 species
UCUGGGGACAUUGGGAGGAACAGAGGUAGCUUAGUGACUCUACUGUCCCUACCACCCAACCUGCUAUUAGCCCUGCUGGUCCGCUCGUGUUUGAGGUCAUGAGUCAGUCUACUUAAUAAAAUCAUCAGCUGGAGCUUACAAAGCAAUAGUGCUUAAUAGAUACAAGCAUGCUAAUAUAUUUUUUAAGUGAAUGCUGAUCUUUCUGAGCUGUGUGUCUAAAAUCAUCAUUGUGAAUAAAAGAAUUGUAAUUUCCAACCCA